rnacentral:lncRNA from 1 species
GAAUCUUUCUGAUGGUACCACAUGAUUAACCUCAAGCCGAUGUUGAAACCUAAGCUGCUGGGAGAGGGGCAGGAGAGAAGAAAGUUCCCCAAACAGAGCUCAGCCUCUCGCCCAACUCUUUACUCCUCCUGAUCAGCCAGAAGACUUGGACAUCAAAGGAACCAGGGAAAUUUGGCCUGGAGACAUCAGACCGAGAGGAAUCAUUCAGCCAGGAGAGAGCUGUCUCACCACAAGGAUCUUUGUCUUCUAUAUCCUGACACCUCUGGAAGAUCCUGAGGAAGAAAUAUGACAUGUGAGAAACUUCCUGCCUUCCUUCCCGCCUCUGAGGAUUCGUGCACAGCACAAUAGAGUUUUUUGCAACCAGCUUCCAGCUCCAUGCAUUCAAAGAUGGGAGAACUGCAUUCAAGGAUGGUAGAACUGGUUAGCUUUUUCUUCCUUCUUGGCAAAUUUUAGCAACAAGCGGGAGCAUAAUUUCCUUAGCUUUUAUUAAGUUUUUCAGAAGCAUGGGUGUUGAUCUUUUCUACUUUUCUUUGGGAAGCAAUUUCUGACUUGCUCCAGGUAUAAGAUGCAUUUGCCCAUGACGCUUCGGAAUUGAACCUCUAGACCACACAUGGCGAUGGUCAGCAGAAGCAGUGGGGCUCUGGGAAUUACACAAAAGGCUGAAAAUUCUCUUAUUCUGCUGCCAAGUUCUCCAUUUACCGCCGAGGCAACCUGGGGAAAAUAGUUGGACUCUUUGUGCUCAGUUUCCUACUCUGGAUUCAAGUUGGAGAAAACAAUGCCGAUUACAUUUUCAGCAGCUGCAAAUAAAAUUGGAAGUAAAGCUGUUUUG